ACCACAAUAACACAGAUUAUUAUCAAUUCAUCAUGAUUCGCUUUACCUUCGUGCAGUUUUUUCCACGCUUCACUUACCAGCUCUCAAUUCUUGCGUCGCAACUCUGUCUUCAGUCACCAAGCGAUAACCACUAAAUAUGCUCAGUGGAACUUGCAAAACAACAGUGGAGUUAUCAUAACGUUACGUUCAAGAGCGAGCUAGGACACAUAAGAACCAAGGAUGAUAGCACAGAUGAGUACUGUGAUGCAAACACACCAGCCACAAAGCCACCCAUGGAUAAAC